AGAAUCAACGCUGGCGGCGUGCCUAACACAUGCAAGUCGAACGCGACUGGGGCGUUCGGCUCCAGUUGAGUGGCGAACGGGUGAGUAACACGUGGGUGACCUACCUCUGAAUGGGGGAGUAACGUCCCGAAAGGGACGCUAAUACCGCUAUAACAUCCCGCUCUUGAAUGGGGGAGAUUCAAAGCCGGGGAUCGCAAGACCUGGCGUUUGGAGAGGGACCCGCGUCCGGAUUAGCUAGUUGGUGAGGUAACGGCUCACCAAGGCGACGAUCGGUAGCC
rnacentral:rRNA from 1 species